rnacentral:lncRNA from 1 species
GAGACUAUGUAAUGUGAAAUAAAUAAGACACACGUGUUUAAAUAUUGCAUGAUUUCUCUUAUAUGAUACCAAAAAUAUAAAGAACAAAAUAAACGAUGAUAAGAAAUAGAGAGAUAUUUUUAAAAAGGUAAGGAGAACAAGACAUGGAGGGAGAGGGGAGGAAUGGGAGAAGGGGAGAAAAACAAUUAAGAUGUGUUAUGUAUAUAUACCCACACCCCACAAUGAAUGUAUUCAUUACAUACUGCAAAUAUGUACUAAUAAAAAUAAAAAUUUCAAAAAAGCAGUAACUCAUGGUCCUACUUUACUAGCACAAAGCCACCAUCCCAGCUCUUAUAAAAAGCAGUAUCAGAAGAAAGAGCAAAUAAAAAUAAAUAAAUAAUACACUGCGUUGAUAUUUGUGUAACAAAAAAAGAGGGAGGAAGGGGAGAUUUAAGAGGGUGUGAGGGGCGUGUAAGUCAAAGCGGGGGAAAGGGAGUUUAAAUGUAACGUGAUGGAGGGCUCAGGGUACCUCGGUGUGGAAGGAAGAACGUUACCUGGACUUGGUAAUGACUAUGGAGGUCAGAGCAAUAAUCGGAUGCCUUCCUCUCAAUGUCUCACAAACACCCUCACCCCGACUUUCAAAAAGCAACACCAGAUAAAGAAAAGAAAAAACAAAAGCCCACGAAAACAAACAGUCCUCUCGCACACUACAGUCAGAACUGGACCAGGCCACUCUUUUCCUGUGUUCCAUACGAAGGGACCCUGCACGGCGGGGAGGCCGAGCCGCGGCCUGUGGUGCUGGCUGGGAGCUGGGUGUGCCCACCACGCUCCAGCUGGUUCCCUGCAAUCCACCUGUGCUCCUGUCUACCAAAGGCUAAAGGGGCUGGAGAAUGCCGACGGACCACCCAAACUGCCUCUCAUGCCCACAGGCGGCAGAGCGUUGCUGGAUUUCGGGCAGCUCCCCUACGUGUGCCCGGAUGGAAGCCUGGCCUCUGUCCUCUGACCAGGCGACCAGGCGCCUUCGAGUGGGUGGAGGUGGGCUGGGCACAGCGGGGCAGUCUGGCACCAGCCCGCUGUGCUCUGGAGCGGCUUCCCCUAUCUCAGUCCCCUUCCGUCCACACUGGUUCCUGCGGCCGUCUUCUUCUGCUCAUUCCAUGCCUUACGAGCACUGUGCUCUGCGCCAACCCUUCCGUGUCCCCUCUUCUCCAGGUUUUUCCACUGCAUCUUAAAACAAUGCCUCGUCGUAAAUCAGCACGCGCCGUAAAUCACUGCUUCAUUUUACGUCUAUGCCUCGCCACCUGUCUGCUUUUCAUCAGUGUCGUGGUGGCCACUGGCAGAAAAGGACUCCUUGCUUAUUGGGCCAUCCCCAGGGCAACGGGGCAGCUAGUCUCUCUGGAUUUCACCUGGAUACGUCCACUCUCGGGCUGUGAUCUCCUGAAUUUCGGUCUCCUUCCAGAGUCCCACAGGGGCAAUUCACCAGAAUUAGAAGAGACAAUUCUUUGGAAAUGCCAGAGAUCACACUGAACUUCCUUUUGGCAGGUAGAAAAAACUUUAUACUCUAGGUAUUUUGUUUAUUCUUUAAUAAAUUUAGAGAAAUAAUUUCAUUAUUAAAGUUAUUAUUUGUAUUUCUUUUAUUUUCAGGCUAACAUGUUUCAGCCAGUCACUCUGAGGAAUUAGAUACUAACAGAACCCUUUUGGAAGUCAGGUCACCUGAUAUUAAAUCGUGUCCUCUUUAGUGGGUGUUUCUACUUCUUCCAUGAAGAAACAAGUGCCAACAUCAAUAUGUCCAAUAAGGAUUCUUUUGCUCAGUUCAGAAGGAAAUCAUGAAUCAGUAAAGUAUUGUUCUCAGCUCCUAGUUCCAGUGGCCUUUGGUCCUUACAGUUACACAUCUCAGCAGCUCCGAGCUGUCCUAUCAGCUCUUCAGCAGCUGAGGUUUCCAGGCCCCCUUUGGCAGCUUUUUGGAUUUCUUCCACCAGCUUCUCCUGCCUCUUUGGGAUACUCCACAGAUCCAUUCAAGUCUCCCCUGUUGUCUACCAGUUGCCACAGCCAGUUGGUGCUGGCUGGUGACAGUUACCAUCAGUAGAUGCUGCUAGUCUCUUCUCGUCUCUGUGGCUGGUUGCUGCAUCGCGAUCUUCAUCCGUUGCUGCUGGUCUCUAGCACUCUUCCAGGCUAGCAGCCCGGAGUGUUACCAACUCUUUUCAGUGCAACCUGCUCUGUGCACAUUACCUGCUAAGAAUCAUGAGUAGUUUUAAGGACCACAGGAAUGAGACUUUAUUUGGAAUUGUGUUGCCACACAAACUGGUGGACACUGGAAGGUGCCCUCCUGGACUAAUCCAGGGGCCAUGAGGGAGCACUGCUACAGAAGGGCAGCAGACCACACAUGAUCAGUUUUGUACAUUUCUCAGACCUGCUUGAGAACUUUGUAGACAUGGGGGUGGGGAGGCAAAGGAUAAACAGGAGCCAUCAGGAGUGGCUGCAGGGCGGAGUCAUCUGGGAUUGGUCUGAGUUUCAAGCCUGCUGAGGCCUCAGCAAAUACCUCCUGGAAGAGCUGCAGGGCACUUAGGAGCACUCUGGCGGUUCUGAACUUUAGGACCAGAGGCUGCUUGAUUGACAAUUGUUGCCUCUUCUUGAAGAUAGUGGGGCUGAAAUUGAGACUUUCACCAAUUUUGAGAAUUCUUUAGCAGGAUUAGCCAUGUUCAUCAUAUCCUAUUAGGGUUUAGCAAUUUUGGGGAAAUUCACAAUGAGGCUAGUCCCUGCUCCAUCUUUGCCCUGUCAGGCAUGGUUUCUCAGCUGCCUUUCAAAGAGGGAGCAGCAAUUCCUGGAGCUGGGGAGGACAGCUGUCAUUCAAGCUGUGACUCCUGUGGACCUGGCCAGAGGGUGGCCGCCACAGCAGCCACAGAGGUGGUGGCCUCCUGGAGCUAAUCACCCCAGACCACCCUGGAAUAGGCACCAGGGAAGGCAAGGGGGGAGUGUGACAAGCUGCCAGUUGGAUUAUGCCUCCACCCGGCUGACACAGGGAAAAGAGAGGUGUCGGACCUCAUUUCUUUUUCAUCUCAGAAAUAGUUCAUUUUUAAUUGCCCCUCCAUUUCUUGAUUUUUAGGAAUUAUAACCAAGACCUGACACCCAGCCCUUGAAAAAUGAUGAAAGCAAGAAGAAGAAUACAUGACAGGAGUAAAAUGUGGGUUCUAAAGUAUGAAUCACUUGGGAGUUACGUGGAUAUUAAAAUUUUAUUAGCUCAUUCAAUAGAGUAAUUCCUAAAAUAUAUUUUCAGACUACAAGUUAAUUCUUGAAAAAUGAAUUAGAUCAUUUAUAUUGCAAGAUCCUUUAUAAAAUAUUUAAAAUUUUAAUUCCUAUUAAAUUUAGGAAAAGGGUCAUACUUCCCCUAUUUCUUUUUUUUUUUUUUUUUUCCAGUACUGGGGAUCAAACUCAGGACCUUACGCUUGCAAGGCAGGUGUGGUGCCACUGAUCUAAAUCCCUAGCUCUAGUUUUUAUUCUGAAUAUACACUGCCAAUUAUCAUUGUAUUGUAUGUUUUAAAUAAAUAUCCAUACCAUUUCUCCUCAUUCUUUUAGAAGCCAUAGUGACAGGUACCUCUUUUCAUAAACUUGUUUUUUGCAUCCAAACCUGUGAGCAAAUGAAAACUUUUUCUUGUUAUAAGUUGAUCAUGUCAUGUAUGUGCUAUACUGGCAGCAAGCUAACACAUUAUCUUUCAUAGAUGAGGAGAUGGAGCUCUAAAAUAAUCAGUCACCUGCUCAAGGUCACAUAGAUCCUGCCUUCACAGCCUCAAGUAGAAGGAUUACCCACCAGAACCAAAUCAAAAAAUGCUUUUAUAUAUANNNNNNNNNNNNNNNNNNNNNNNNNNNNNNNNNNNNNNNNNNNNNNNNNNNNNNNNNNNNNNNNNNNNNNNNNNNNNNNNNNNNNNNNNNNNNNNNNNNNUUUUUUCAAGAUGUACCUUGAUCAACAAGAGAUCAACAAGUAGUCACACCAAAUCAAAUUUUGGGAUUUUUUUUUCACUCUGAGUUUAUUUCAAAUGUGAAUUUCAGAAGAUGUGCAAUGUUGCUUUUGUGUCUUUGCAUCUCACUGUUUUUAACAUUUACAAUACGGUAUGAUCUCAAAUACAUUUAAGAAUGAAGUAGAAUUUUUUUCUUCUAAAGUAGUCAUUCAUUUUCUUUUAAUUGCUUUUCUAUAUAUCAAAUUACUUCCAGUUACCAUUAAAUCUCAUAAUGCCCAUCUGUGUAAAUACAUAUAGAUACUAUGCCAAAGAACUAUAAAACAGGGAGAAAUCCUUUUGGCAUUCACUAAGAUUUUCCAUUUCCUUUGAAUUUGAUUUUCCUUCUCUACUAAGCAAAAAUGAAAGCAUAUAAUUAGCUAAUUUGAUAUUCAGGGUUAAAUUUGCUAUUUUAUUUUCUAUAUUAAUUUCCUCCAACAUAUCUGUGGCCUCCAUUUUUAUGAAGAAGCAGCUCAUCCCAAUGAUAUUUAAACACUAAUUAUUUCCCUUUAAUGUCUGAAAAGGAGCACACACUCAAAUUUUAACUUUCCAGUUUUUUCUCUUUUAUUCCCCAUGGUGUUCUCAAGCCGAUUAAAUUACGUGCAGAAGAUGAUGCUGAGUUUGCUCACACAGCCUGCCAAAACAAACUCCUGCUAAAAUAGUAUGUCUACUUAUGUCUCACUAAGUAAACUAGCGCUCCUGAAGUUUUAUAAUUUGGUAUUAGAACUAAAAUUAAAAUGGUGUCUGGAAAUGUCAGACUGUUAAAUGAUACAUAUGAUGUCAUCUUACAAAAUUCCUCUACUUUAAUGUUACUUUGCUUGCCAAUUACUGUAUUGAAAAUUACUGUGUAUUAAGAACCUACAGAGUCAGCCAUAAAGAAUGAGAAACUAGCUAAAUGGAUGCACACUGAGGCCAUACUCUGAAGUGAAAUAAAUAGGACAAGCAUGUAAAUACUGAAUAGUUUCUCUGGUGUGAGAAACUGAAAGUGUAAAUAAGGAUUAAAAUGAAUAUUUGAUCAUGUGAAAUAGGAAGAAAAGGUGCAAAGAAAAGGGGAAGUCAGAAGAAGGGAAAGGAAAAAAUAUGAUAAAAGGAAAAAAAGGAAAUAAAGUCUUUGUAAAUAGGGAAAGGUGGAGGGGCUGAAGGGAGGGCAGGGGAAUGGGGAAAAAAUAAGAACAAAGAUACUCAUGUACAGGUACAAGCACCCAAUGAU